rnacentral:rRNA from 1 species
CCUAACACAUGCAAGUCGAACGGUAACAGGAAGAAGCUUGCUUCUUUGCUGACGAGUGGCGGACGGGUGAGUAAUGUCUGGGAAACUGCCUGAUGGAGGGGGAUAACUACUGGAAACGGUAGCUAAUACCGCAUAACGUCGCAAGACCAAAGAGGGGGACCUUCGGGCCUCUUGCCAUCGGAUGUGCCCAGAUGGGAUUAGCUAGUAGGUGGGGUAACGGCUCACCUAGGCGACGAUCCCUAGCUGGUCUGAGAGGAUGACCAGCCACACUGGAACUGAGACACGGUCCAGACUCCUACGGGAGGCAGCAGUGGGGAAUAUUGCACAAUGGGCGCAAGCCUGAUGCAGCCAUGCCGCGUGUAUGAAGAAGGCCUUCGGGUUGUAAAGACUU